GACAGAGGAUGCAAGCGUUAUCCGGAAUGAUUGGGCGUAAAGAGCGUGUAGGCGGCCAUACAGGUCAGCUGUGAAAACUCGAGGCUCAACCUCGAGACGUCGGUUGAAACCGUUUGGCUAGAGUCCGGAAGAGGAGAGUGGAAUUCCCGGUGUAGCGGUGAAAUGCGCAGAUAUCGGGAAGAACACCCGUGGCGAAGGCGGCUCUCUGGGACGGUACUGACGCUGAGACGCGAAAGCGUGGGGAGCGAACAGG
rnacentral:rRNA from 1 species